GACGAACGCUGGCGGCGUGCUUAACACAUGCAAGUCGAACGGAAAGGCCCUGCUUUUGUGGGGUGCUCGAGUGGCGAACGGGUGAGUAACACGUGAGUAACCUGCCCUUGACUUUGGGAUAACUUCAGGAAGCUGGGGCUAAUACCGGAUAGGAGCUCCUGCUGCAUGGUGGGGGUUGGAAAGUUUCGGCGGUUGGGGAUGGACUCGCGGCUUAUCAGCUUGUUGGCGGGGUAGUGGCUUACCAAGGCUUUGACGGGUAGCCGGCCUGAGAGGGUGACCGGCCACAUUGGGACUGAGAUACGGACCAAACUCCUACGGGAGGCAGCAGUGGGGAAUAUUGCACAAUGGGCGGAAGCCUGAUGCAGCAACGCCGCGUGCGGGAUGACGGCCUUCGGGUUGUAAACCGCUUUCGCCUGUGACGAAGCGUGAGUGACGGUAAUGGGUAAAGAAGCACCGGCUAACUACGUG
rnacentral:rRNA from 1 species